GGAGCCUGCGGCUUAAUUUGACUCAACACGGGGCAACUUACCCGGUCCGGACAUCGUCAGGAUUGACAGACGCUCGUGCAGUUCUUUCUCGAUUCGAUGGGUGGUGGUGCAUGGCCGUUCGUGGCUGGUGAAGUGAAAAGUCUGGUUUAUUCCGCUAACGGGCGAGGCCUCGCCCUUAACUAGUCGGCUCGUGGUUCUCGAAUCGUAGUCUCCCUUCGGGGAGCAGGGAGAACAUCGGGCGAGUCGCAGCGAUCGUCGCUACUUCUUAGGGGGAUCCCCGAGCAGCUUAAGCUAGGUGAGAGAGAUCAAUAACAGGUCAGUGAUGCCCUUAGAUGUCCGGGGCCGCACGCGCGCUAC
rnacentral:ncRNA from 1 species